UACGUAGGGGGCGAGCGUUGUCCGGAUUUAUUGGGCGUAAAGAGCUCGUAGGCGGCUUAGUAAGUCAGAUGUGAAACCUCCAGGCUCAACCUGGAGACGCCAUUUGAUACUGCUAUGGCUUGAGUUCGGUAGGGGACCAUGGAAUUCCUGGUGUAGCGGUGAAAUGCGCAGAUAUCAGGAGGAACACCGAUGGCGAAGGCAGUGGUCUGGGCCGAUACUGACGCUGAGGAGCGAAAGCGUGGGGAGCGAACAGG
rnacentral:rRNA from 1 species